rnacentral:rRNA from 1 species
AGUGAACGCUGGCGGUAGGCCUAACACAUGCAAGUCGAACGGCAGCACAGUAAGAGCUUGCUCUUACGGGUGGCGAGUGGUGGACGGGUGAGGAAUACAUCGGAAUCUUCUUUUUCGUGGGGGAUAACGUAGGGAAACUUACGCUAAUACAGCAUACGAUCUACGGGUGAAAGCAGGGGAUCUUCGGUCCUUGCGCGAUUGAAUGAGCCGAUGUCGGAUUAGCUAGUUGGCGGGGUAAAGGCCCACCAAGGCGACGAUACGUAGCUGGUCUGAGAGGGUGAUCAGCCACACUGGAACUGAGACACGGUCCAGACUCCUACGGGAGGCAGCAGUGGGGAAUAUUGGGCAAUGGGCGCAAGCCUGAUCCAGCCAUACCGCGUGGGUGAAGAAGGCCUUCGGGUUGUAAAGCCCUUUUGUUGGGAAAGAAAAGCAGCAGGUUAAUACCCCGCUGUUCUGACGGUACCCAAAGAAUAAGCACCGGCUAACUUCGUG